CAUGGUUUCUUUUUGUGGUUAUGAAAUUUUUCGUGUUGUUAUUGUUGUGUUUUUGUUUAUUCGCAAGAGUGUCGGUCGGAAUCAUAAAACCGAAAAUUUCGUGAAUCGGGUGUUCUUGAAACGUUUUUAUCCGUGUAAAUCGUGUGAUUUGUUAGUUGGUGAAGUUUUUUUGGCUGAAGGAAUCGGUCGUCAUUCCGGGCAGCCAACAAGUGGAAUCGUUCCCCCCGUACGAUGCUGAUGCUCGAGACUGGUCCGGCUGGCAUUCCUGUACUGUGGCAACUUUUUGAUGCCACUAUAUGAAUUUAGGGAAGUGUAUGUCUCGGGGUUUAACUGGAAGCCGGAUCCACAGACGAAGGCACCGGUUCAGGUGGUGCUGGUUUACAUCAACGAUGCUUUUGGCCCAAAAAACUGUUAUUUGGUUACUUCCGUAAGGUGAGCAUCCGCACGAUCAUUUUUUAGUCCCUCAAGCACGAAUGAAUGAACCGGCGAUUCCGACAACAGGUGAAUCAUCAGGAAGAGGAGCCGGAAGUUAUUGUCCUCUGUGGGAUGUUUUAUUACACAUUCAUCAACCACAAUUUUCAUACCAAGUACCGCAAUCUUUAAGUAAAAAACUGAAAUGUCACAAUCAGCCAAAAGAAGGAUUCAAGCAUUUUCCUGCUCAUCCAGCAUGACAUCGGAAAAAAUAAUGCAUGUCAAGUUUGCUAACAAGGUGCUGAUUUACUGUUGGCGAUUUGCGCUAUUGCAUUGAUGGCUGGUUGUCAGAUGUUUGCUUAUCAAAGAUAUGUUUACCAGGCCAUUGCCACGCUAAGGAGUAACGGCAAACUAAAUGGGUCAAAGACAAACCUCGAAGCUCCAAAUCCGAUGGAUAGACCGCUUACUUUCUUCUGUGACUAAUCUUCAAUACCUGACGGGAACGGCAGACCUACUUAAGUCAAUUUUUUGGCAUCUGUUGGUGAGUAAAUCAUAAACGAAACUUAAAAAGAAAAUAAGUACAAUACAGCCAGGACACGUUUUAGAAGUUGAAUUCAAUUAUAUUAUACCAUAAAAUAUUCACUUAAAAAUUUACAAAAGGUAACAAGAAAAGUCGUUUAAACAUCGGAAUAUCAAAAUUGGUUAUCUACUCAAACACCUAAUGCAAUUUUAGCAAUCUCAUUGUAUUACGAGAAAUAUGAGACUAGGAUGUGAAAAAUUCAUAAUUGAUAUAAAGUUUUGAAAUAAA